rnacentral:lncRNA from 10 species
CGAGCAUCCUUUUCCGGAGUGUGCUCAUAGGCUCCUCUCACAGCCCCAGGCCUGCCAGGAAAGGGCUCUCAGUUCCAGCUGGGGGAGGGCCAGGACCUAUCCCAGUCUGCUCAGUGGGAUAGCACCGGAAUGGAAGCAUUAGCUUUAAUGGGAAAGGCCUGUUUGCAGGCGAAGUAAAGUCAGUAACUCACACUUCAAACACCUGCAGGUUCAUUAGCAUCCUGACAACCCUCAGGUGAGGAAGGAGCUGUUAUCUCCAUUUACAGACGGGAAAACUGAGGGUCAGGCUGGCUCUCAAGCCUGGGUCUUCUGAUUCUUUCAAAUCCUAUGUGACACAACACUGAGCUCUUUGGGGUUCAUAAAAGGAGGACCAGGAAUGAUGGAAAAGAUCCAAACAUCCGUCUUUGAAGGCGGGAAAUCUGGGAGGAAUGACCCUCGGUUCAAAUCCUGCCACUUAGGAGCUAUACAGCAGUGAGCAGGUCAGUGGGCCUCUCUGAGCCUCUGUGUCCUUCUCUGUAAAGUGGACCUCCACAGGAACAAAUCAUAUCCAUGUCAGGCGGCACCAAACCUAAAUCUGCUUCUGCCUCAGCAGACAGGACAUGUUGAGUUUGGCCAGUGAGUGCUGCAGGAUACUGGAGGGAGGGCAACAGAGAGGAAGGUCACCUACAUGUCUAUGUUCAGAAGCUGCCUUGAUGCCACAUGCGGGAGGCUGGAAACGCUGAAGGAUGACCACUGCUCAGCAGCAGUCUACCAGUGAUGGAUGAGAGUUGGUGCACAAAUACCCCAGCUCCCUUGCCUCUCAGUUUGGAUAAUCCUGAAAAGGUGUGUACUAUGCUAUUUCUGAGAUUAAGCCCUAGUUACCCAUAGUGGUAGCUAAAUAUAGUAGUUGGCUGUAUUCUCCAUCACUUCUUGAAUCCCCUGCCAGUGUUCUCUGCACCUCCUUAAUAAACCACUUGAAACAAAAAUCAAGUCUUUCUUUCUCUCACGGUCUGCAUCUUGGGGAACACAAACUAAGACACAGUCUCAAAAAAGUUAACAUUUGUAAAACAUCUAGUUUAUUUUUUCAUCUUACCCUACAAGUAAUAAAAAAGACAAAAAAAACCAAAACAAAACACCUUUCAUGGGAGAGGGGACAUUCAACUAAGAUGCUUUGAGUUGCUUUUCCUGUUAACGUUAUGCCAAAUUUAGAAGAAAAGAAUGCCAGAAGAGGGCAGAGGAUAUGUAUUAUGUCUAUAUCUUCGAGACAUGAGGUCUUGCUAUGUUCCCCAGGCUAGAAUGCAGUGGCUAUUCAUAAGCAG